GACGAACGCUGGCGGCGUGCUUAACACAUGCAAGUCGAACGGAAAGGCCCUGCUUUGGUGGGGUGCUCGAGUGGCGAACGGGUGAGUAACACGUGAGUAACCUGCCCUUGACUUUGGGAUAACUUCAGGAAACUGGGGCUAAUACCGGAUAGGAGCUCCUGCUGCAUGGUGGGGGUUGGAAAGUUUCGGCGGUUGGGGUUGGAUUCGCGGCUUACCGGCUGGUUGGUGGGGAAGUGGUUACCAAGGCGUUGACGGGUAGCCGGCCUGAGAGGGUGACCGGCCACAUUGGGACUGAGAUACGGCCCAGACUCCUACGGGAGGCAGCAGUGGGGAAUAUUGCACAAUGGGCGGAAGCCUGAUGCAGCGACGCCGCGUGCGGGAUGACGGCCUUCGGGUUGUAAACCGCUUUCGCCUGUGACGAAGCGUGAGUGACGGUAAUGGGUAAAGAAGCACCGGCUAACUACGUG
rnacentral:rRNA from 1 species